AGGUUAAGCUACAAAGAGCACACGGAGGAUGCCUAGGCGCCAGGAGCCGACGAAGGACGUGGCGAACAACGAUAAAGCCUCGGGGAGCUGUAAGCAAGCUUUGAUCCGGGGAUGUCCGAAUGGGGAAACCCGGCUGUCUUCAUCGACAGUCACUACUCACUGAAU
rnacentral:rRNA from 1 species